rnacentral:rRNA from 1 species
UACAGAGGGUGCGAGCGUUGUCCGGAAUCACUGGGCGUAAAGGGCGCGUAGGUGGCGGCCCAAGUCCAUGGUGAAAGCUCGCCGCUCAACGGCGAGUCGGCCACGGAUACUGGGUUGCUCGAGCACUGUAGGAGCAGAUGGAAUUCCGGGUGUAGCGGUGGAAUGCGUAGAGAUCCGGAAGAACACCAGUGGCGAAGGCGGUCUGCUGGGCAGUAGCUGACACUGAUGCGCGACAGCGUGGAGAGCAAACAGG